rnacentral:rRNA from 1 species
AACGAACGCUGGCGGCAUGCCUAACACAUGCAAGUCGAACGAGACCUUCGGGUCUAGUGGCGCACGGGUGCGUAACGCGUGGGAACCUGCCCUUAGGUUCGGAAUAACUCCCCGAAAGGGGUGCUAAUACCGGAUAAUGUCUUCGGACCAAAGAUUUAUCGCCUUUGGAUGGGCCCGCGUUGGAUUAGCUAGUUGGUAGGGUAAAAGCCUACCAAGGCGACGAUCCAUAGCUGGUCUGAGAGGAUGAUCAGCCACACUGGGACUGAGACACGGCCCAGACUCCUACGGGAAGCAGCAGUGGGGAAUAUUGGACAAUGGGCGAAAGCCUGAUCCAGCAAUGCCGCGUGAGUGAUGAAGGCCUUAGGGUUGUAAAGCUCUUUUACCUGGGAUGAUAAUGACAGUACCGGGAGAAUAAGCUCCGGCUAACUCCGUG